UCCAGGGUAGCCUAGUGGACAUGGCACCUGCCCGGUAAGCAGAAGGUUGUGUAUUCGAUUCCCGCCCCUGGCA
rnacentral:tRNA from 1 species